rnacentral:rRNA from 1 species
CAGCCGCCGCGGUAAAACGGAGGGUGCAAGCGUUAAUCGGAAUUACUGGGCGUAAAGCGCACGCAGGCGGUCUGACAAGUCAGAUGUGAAAUCCCCGGGCUUAACCUGGGAACUGCAUUUGAAACUGUCAGGCUGGAGUCUUGUAGAGGGGGGUAGAAUUCCAGGUGUAGCGGUGAAAUGCGUAGAGAUCUGGAGGAAUACCGGUGGCGAAGGCGGCCCCCUGGACAAAGACUGACGCUCAGGUGCGAAAGCGUGGGGAGCAAACAGGAUUAGAUACCCGAGUAGUCCCUGUCUCUUAUAC